rnacentral:rRNA from 1 species
UACGAAGGGGGCUAGCGUUGCUCGGAAUCACUGGGCGUAAAGCGCACGUAGGCGGACUCUUAAGUCGGUGGUGAAAUCCUGGAGCUCAACUCCAGAACUGCCUUCGAUACUGAGAGUCUCGAGUCCGGGAGAGGUGAGUGGAACUGCGAGUGUAGAGGUGAAAUUCGUAGAUAUUCGCAAGAACACCAGUAGCGAAGGCGGCUCACUGGCCCGGUACUGACGCUGAGGUGCGAAAGCGUGGGGAGCAAAUAGG